UAGGGAAUCUUCCGCAAUGGGCGAAAGCCUGACGGAGCAACGCCGCGUGAGUGAUGAAGGUCUUCGGAUCGUAAAACUCUGUUAUUAGGGAAGAACAAAUGUGUAAGUAACUAUGCACGUCUUGACGGUACCUAAUCAGAAAGCCACGGCUAACUACGUGCCAGCAGCCGCGGUAAUACGUAGGUGGCAAGCGUUAUCCGGAAUUAUUGGGCGUAAAGCGCGCGUAGGCGGUUUUUUAAGUCUGAUGUGAAAGCCCACGACUCAACCGUGGAGGGUCAGUGGAAACUGGAAAACUUGAGUGCAGAAGAGGAAAGUGGAAUUCCAUGUGUAGCGGUGAAAUGCGCAGAGAUAUGGAGGAACACCAGUGGCGAAGGCGACUUUCUGGUCUGUAACUGACGCUGAUGUGCGAAAGCGUGGGGAUCAAACAGG
rnacentral:rRNA from 1 species